AAUCAGAAGUUACAUGCAUUUGCCUGGGGAUUUUCGCCACUUCAAACACCUGAUCUAAGUAGGAGCUGUGUAAAUUCUGUUUAAGUUGUUUAAGACGACUGUCUCUUUGAUGAGUUCAUUGGCUAUAUUUAAGAGGGAGAUGUGGCCCUUCUGGCUAAAGGGAUCAGGGGGUAUGGAGAGAAGGCAGGUACAGAAUACUGAGUUGGAUGAUCAGCCAUGAUCAUAUUGAAUGGCGGUGCAGGCUCGAAGGGCCGAAUGGCCUACUCCUGCACCUAUUUUCUAUGUUUCUAUGAUAGUGAUGCUUCGAACCAAAGAUUAUAGAGGAGCAAGAUAAACCAUUCGACGAAAAAGCUGUAGUACGGUCAUGGGCUCAUGGGUAAUUUGUGGCGCGCCAUUUUGGGAAUCAUAUAUAUGAGGGUUUUUUUGAAUGGGCAUCUGUCAUGGCGCCCACAUCUACACGCGUAGCGAGCCGUUCUGCUAUAGUGCUCGAAUCGCCAAUGUAAGUGAUUUAAGCACUUUAUAGCAGUCUUUCUUCAGGUUCCCCACUAAAGACGAAAGAUGUUGACAGUGGGUCCAGAAUACUCGUUGAUAAGAUCUCCUACAGCGAACUACAGAGUACUUGUCAAAGAACUGCCGUCUUUGUUCUGAACACUCUGUAUAUCUCACACAUAAAACAAUAAAUUAUGUAAAUCUUACCAUAAAUGACAGAAAUAAAAAGUGUUAUCCUUGUUUAUGAAUUUUGUUGUAGAAUGAUUUAAAAUUGAAUGGAUUGAUGCAAUAUACUGGUAGCCCACAAAUGUUUAGUUAUGAGAUAUUCACAUUUAAAAACUCACUCAGAGCUCGGGUGGCUGUGAGCGGCUGCCUGGCCAGGACAGCGGAACCGCAGCUAGACCCGGGGCUCGCAGGUGACCUGGGAACUGCAGCUAGUCCCGGAGGGUCCUGGCCCCUAUGCAAAAAAGGCUGCGGACCCCUGGACUAAACCAAACCCUCGAUCCUGUCCCGCCAUCCUUUUUUCAAAAUUUAGCAACUCAAAUGGUGGUGCGUCUUCAUUGCCGGGAAAUACGGUAACUCAUUUCCCUCAAAUAUAUGUUAAAUUAAAAACUAAACUAUGGUAGCAAUGCACAGUUUUCAUGUAUAAUUCUCGCACUUCUGCAUCAAUGUAGGUAUGUAUACACUAUAUUUCUUUACACUAAUAUAGAAUGAAAAAAUAUCUUGGCAUGUGUUCAUUUAUAUUUUAUUCACAAUAUUAGGAUUUCAGAGAGAGGUUGAAUGAAAGAAAAAAAAGUUCAACAAAAUUAGGAGAUCACAAGAAAGAAACUAGAGAAACAUACAUAUGUGUGUGUUAUAUAUUUAUAUACAUAUAUAUCACACAUAUAUACGCAUCAUAUAUACACAUCAUAUAAUGAAUAUAUGUGUUUAUAUAUAUAAGAAACUAGAGAAUUAUGUAUGUGUGUUAUAUAAUUAUAUACAUCAAUAUCACAUUUAUAUAUCUGUAUCAUAUAUAUAUAAUAUAUGUGUUUAUAAGAUAUAAAUAUAGGCAAAUAUAUUGGCUUAUGGCUUGUGUUCCUUAUAUAUUAUAGCAAAAUGUAAAGGCAAAUAUAAUUGUCUUUAUGGCUUAUGUACAUCAUGAGAAUGGCUCAUGUGCAUCAUGAGUUGCAUUAAAUCAAAGUUGCUUCUGAUCUAUGAGGAACUUUGAAAUAUAUUAUCUCUAUCUUGCCACUCACACACAGAAACACACACAUUCCGUUCCCCCACAACACUGAUUAAACAAAAGAUCAUAGAAUGUGGUCCAGAGACCUUUCAUUGAGCAUUGUUGCUCAUUUUAUACGCAGUUUCCCUUUUUAAUUAUUUUUUUUUUUUUAAAGGAGCACCUUAUUUAUUAUAAACAAAGAUAAUAAUAGUUUAACAAUGAAGGCUAAGAGAACAAGAUAAACUACAAAAUCCAAUGGACUGACGUGGAUUAAACUGCGAGAGGCAUAACGGAGAUCGGGGUCUUAUUCCUAAAAUGGCGGAAGUAACGUUACGAUCCGUACUACACGUCAAUCCAUUGGAUUUCGUAGGAGUGGUCUAUCUUGCUCCUCUAUAAUCUUUGCUUCGAACAGCAGUGAUGACCCUGAUGAAUUACCGGUAUUAUGCUUUGAAAAUUCGGAUGACAGUAGUGAAUUUUUCGGAUUUGAAGAUUAGAAUGCUUUUUGUUUUUGUAAUCUAUGUAAUCUUUGUUUUGUGCACAAUUAAAUGCUAUUUUAUUCCGAACGCUGUAUUUUUUUAUAACCGCACCGAUGUAUACAUUAUCUGUGUUUUGCACUGAAAAUGGCUGCGAAUGAAAAUAACCGCCACCACGGCGAAUG